AUGAAACACUCCUACGGGAGGCAGCAGUAAGGGAUAUUGCGCAAUGGACGAAAGUCUGACGCAGCGACGCCGCGUGGGGGAUGAAGGUCUUCGGAUUGUAAACCCCUUUCGGGAGGGAAGAUGGAGUGGGUAACCACUUGGACGGUACCUCCAGAAGCAGCCACGGCUAACUUCGUGCCAGCAGCCGCGGUAAUACGAAGGUGGCAAGCGUUGUUCGGAUUCACUGGGCGUACAGGGAGCGUAGGCGGUUGGGUAAGCCCUCCGUGAAAUCUCCGGGCCUAACCCGGAAAGUGCAGAGGGGACUGCUCAGCUAGAGGAUGGGAGAGGAGCGCGGAAUUCCCGGUGUAGCGGUGAAAUGCGUAGAGAUCGGGAGGAAGGCCGGUGGCGAAGGCGGCGCUCUGGAACAUUUCUGACGCUGAGGCUCGAAAGCGUGGGGAGCAAACAGGAUUAGAAACCCUUGUAGUCCGAAGUUC
rnacentral:rRNA from 1 species